UCAAGCGAACAAGGGCGCAGGGCGAAUGCCUUGGCACUGGGAGCCGAUGAAAGACGUGAUAAGCUGCGAUAAGCUUCGGGGAGCUGCAAAUAAGCAUUGAUCCGGAGAUUUCUGAAUGAGGAAACUCACCUGGGUUCAUACUCAGGUACGUUAUACUGAACUUCAAAAUAGGUAUAUCGAGGGAACCGCCUGAACUGAAACAUCUAAGUAGGGCGAGGAAGAGACAUCAAACGAGAUUCCGUAAGUAGUGGCGAGCGAACGCGGAAGAGGGCAAACCGAGAGUAGAAAUACUUUCGGGGUACGGACUGCUUUUAAGACUUAAUCUGUUAACCGAACGGCAUGGGAAGGCCGGUCAGAGAGUGUGAGAACCACGUAGGUGAAAACGGAGAGAGCUGCGCAGGAUCCAGAGUACGGCCAGACACGUGAAACCUGGUCGGAAUACGGGGGGACCACCCUCCAACCCUAAAUACUACCCAGUGACCGAUAGCGUAUAGUACUGUGAAGGAAAGGUGAAAAGCACCCCGGGAGGGGAGUGAAAAAGAACCUGAAACCCUGUGCCUACAAGCACCUAGAGCGCGUCAAUGCGUGAUAGGGUACUUUUUGUAGAACGGUCCGGCGAGCGAUUGUAUGCAGCAAGGUUAAGGACUUAAGGUCUGGAGCCGAAGCGAAAGCGAGUUUGAAAAGGGCGUUAAGUUGCAUAUAAUGGGCCCGAAACCGGGUGACCUACCCAUGGUCAGGUUGAAGUGGAAGUAAAAUUCCAUGGAGGACCGAACCGACCUCCGUUGAAAAGGCGGCGGAUGAACUGUGGGUAGCGGAGAAAUUCCAAUCGAACCCGGAGAUAGCUGGUUCUCCCCGAAAUAGUUUUAGGACUAGCCUCAAGUUAGAUACCUGGAGGUAAAGCACUGAAUAGCCUAGCGGCCGAGAGGUUAGCGAAGCUUAUCAAACUCAGAAUGCCAGAGUAUUGAUGCUUGGGAGUCAGACAGUGUCAGAUAAAUGUCAUUGUCAAAAGGGAAACAGCCCAGAUCUACAGCUAAGGUCCCAAAGUCAGGUUAAGUGGAAAACGAUGUGAAGAUACGCAGACAACCAGGAUGUUGGCUCAGAAGCAGCCACUCAUUCAAAGAGUGCGUAAUAGCUCACUGGUCGAGCGUCUUUGCGCGGAGAAUUUAACGGGGCUAAACCUGACACCGAAGCUUAGGCAAUGUAGUAAUGCAUUGGGUAGGGGAGCGUUGUAUACGCGGUGAAACAGUAGCGCAAGCGGCUGUGGAGUGUAUAGAAGUGAGAAUGCCGGAAUGAGUAGCGCGAAUGCAGUGAGAAUCUGCAUGGCCGAAAGCCUCAGGUUUCUGGAGGAAGGUUCGUCCGCUCCAGGUCAGUCGGGAGCUAAGGUGAGGCCUAACGGCGUAGCCGAUGCACAGACGGUAGAGAUUCCGUCACCACCAAAAGAGUUAAACACAGGGACACAUAUGAAGUCUCGGAGCCGGGUGUUGGUUCCGGUAGCGAUCGAGGGAAGUUAGUACCGAAGUCCGGGAUGGAAGAUGGCGAGAAAAGCUGUGUGUAUUUCUGCGGUGCCCGUACCGCAAACCGACACAGGUAGGUAGGAAGAAGAUUCUAAGGCCAACGGGAGAAGGGUUGUUAAGGAACUCGGCAAAUUGACCCCGUAACUUCGGGAGAAGGGGUGCUCCAGAGAUGGAGCCGCAGAGAAUCGGCCCAAGCAACUGUUUACCAAAAACACAGGUUUGUGCUAAAUCGAAAGAUGACGUAUACGAGCUGACGCCUGCCCGGUGCUGGAAGGUUAAGAGGAGAUGUGCAAGCAUUGAAUCGAAGCCCCAGUGAACGGCGGCCGUAACUAUAACGGUCCUAAGGUAGCGAAAUUCCUUGUCAGGUAAGUUCUGACCCG
rnacentral:rRNA from 1 species